rnacentral:tRNA from 1 species
GGUUUCAUAGCGUAGCGGUUAGCACGUCUGCUUUACAUGCAGAAAGUCGUGGGUUCAUAUCCCAGUGGAGCCA